AGAAAGGUCCAGAUUUUCACGGUCAGCCUAUGUCAAGAUUUUUAUGGCUUCUUUCUCACAGGCUGGGCCAGAUACUGUGCGGCCCCAGCGAUCACUUAAGAAGCGUGCAGAUAAGCCACAUGGGCCUAAUAUGUUAGUCCCAGAUUUACAGUGGGCCUAAUGUAUUAGUCCCAGAUUUACAGUGGGCUUACAGGCUACGUCUUGUUAGCUUUUACCAAGCACAAAUACCUGUUAAGUACUGGUAUUUUUAAAUAAUUAAGUACAGGACAUUUACUUUUUGUGUUUUUAAUCCACAUGAAAUCCUAAAUUAUGAUAGCUACAUAAAGAAAAUUCUGCUUCGAACUUUUUCUUUAUUAAGAUCCAGUUUAUGUCCACUUUUUAUUUUAUUGGACGAGAAUGGGUGUACUGUUGUUCAGAGGGAUCCCAACUUUACGGACCCGCUGUCAACUUCACGGACCCGCUGGCAACUUUACGGACCCACUGGCAACUCUACGUACAUCCUCACAAACAAACAAACAAACAUGAUUCAUCAAACACAAACCGACAUGGUGGAAAUACUCCACAUCAGAGUUUUAACAUGAAGCACACCCUUGAAGCAGAGGGUCAGUGGCCUUCACAGCUUUUUCCACACCGGCAGCUGACUUUCCGUCUCUAUCAGUAGUCUCAUAGUUGACCAGCAUGUCCUGCAGCCAAAGAUAACACAGCCAAGAGUAUCUCGCACGUCACUGUGUGACCACAACUUGUGGACAGCUCCAUGACCUAAUGUCAAGAAUAUCUGGCGCGUCCUUGUGUGACCACAACUUGUGGACAGCUCCAUGACCUAAUGUCUUAUACACAUUCAACAACGUCAUCAGCAUGAAAUAAUGCAGUCUCUCACAGGAAGUCUAUUAUUGGUUUUCAAAGACAUAAAUAAUGGCUAUUACACA